rnacentral:lncRNA from 1 species
ACUACACAUAUCUGUCAUCGUCUGCUCAAUGAUAUUUGCCGCCAAUUAACAAUGCAUUUCGCUUGAUAAAUAUUCUUAAUUAGAUUGAAUAACACAAGAUUAUGUAACAAAAAGGAAGUAUUUGGGGUCAACAGUCAAAUAUAACAUCUUAAUUUCUACAUAAAAUGAAUGGAAUUUGCAUACGACAGUAGAAAGAAAAUGCAUUACAUGUGACUCAUAGGAAACAUCUGUCUAUAGCUAGCAGACGAUGUCAAACGAGGGUUAUAAUUUCCCGUUUAAUAAAUCGAUCAAAAACAGAGAAAAAUUUGAUUAUUAUAAAUUAUAUCGUAAAAUGAUGUUAUUUCUCCAUAAAACUAUAUGGCUAUUUUGUGGCCUCUUGACUUGGAUUAACCUUUGUCCCUACUAUGAUACCAAUUUGCCGACAGGCGUGCCCCACCUGCAGACAUAGGAAGUGAGAAGAAAUUGUAGAAAUACUUUUACUUUUUAAUACAUAUCCCUGUUAAAAGUAAAAUGACCUAAGCAAAUAGAUUAAAAGGUGCGUCUACUCUUCUUUGUUUAAAAAACCCAAGACCAUUAAAGUUCAACAAGGGGGUAACAAACACCAGUGUAAAACUAUUUUACCUCUAU